CGGAAGAACAGCCUGUAGG
rnacentral:misc_RNA from 1 species